UACGGGGGGAGCAAGCGUUGUUCGGAUUUACUGGGCGUAAAGGGCGCGUAGGCGGUCGUGACAAGUCACUUGUGAAAUCUCCGGGCUUAACUCGGAACGGUCAAGUGAUACUGUCGGACUAGAGUACAGAAGGGGCAACUGGAAUUCUCGGUGUAGCGGUGAAAUGCGUAGAUAUCGAGAGGAACACCCGUGGCGAAGGCGGCUCUCUGGGACGGUACUGACGCUGAGACGCGAAAGCGUGGGGAGCGAACAGG
rnacentral:rRNA from 1 species